rnacentral:tRNA from 2 species
GCGGGCGUAAUUCAGUGGUAGAAUGUCGGCUUCCCAAGCCGAAUGUCGUGGGUUCGAAUCCCAUCGCCCGCU